UCCAGCUCCAAUAGCGUAUAUUAAAGUUGUUGCGGUAAAAAAGCUCGUAGUUGGAUUUCUGUUGAAGACGUCCGGUCCAUACCACGUAUGCGCAUCUGGCUCGGCUUCGGCAUCCUCUCGAAAGACGUUUCUGCGCUUGAUUGCGUGGAGCGGAUCUCGGGACUUUUACUUUGAGGAAAUUAGAGUGUUCACGGCAGGCUAUCGCCAGAAUACAUUAGCAUGGAAUAAUACUAUAGGAUCUCGGUUCUAUUUUGUUGGUUUCUAGAAUUGAGAUAAUGAUUAAUAGGGACAAUUGGGGGCAUUCGUAUCAACACGUUAGAGGUGAAAUUCUUGGAUCGUGUUGCGACGAACUACUGCGAAAGCAUUUGCCAAGGAUGUUUUCAUUGAUCAAGAACGAAAGUAAGGGGAUCGAAGACGAUUAGAUACCGUCGUAGUCUUUACCAUAAACUAUGCCAACUAGAGAUGGGACAUCGUUCACUUAAGACUUGUUCCGCACCUUAUGAGAUAUCAAAGUCUUUGGGUUCCGGGGGGAGUAUGGUCGCAAGUCUGAAACUUAAAGGAAUUGACGGAAGGGCACCACCAGGAGUGGAGCCUGCGGCUUAAUUUGACUCAACACGGGGAAACUCACCAGGUCCAGACAUAAUAAGGAUUGACAGAUUGAUAGCUCUUUCUUGAUUUUAUGGGUGGUGGUGCAUGGCCGUUCUUAGUUCGUGGAGUGAUUUGUCUGCUUAAUUGCGUUAACGAACGAGACCUUAACCUGCUAAAUAGGAGCGCCUAUCUCCGGAUAAGCGCCUUUCUUCUUAGAGGGACUUUAUGCGUUUCAGCAUGAGGAAGUUUGAGGCUAAAAC
rnacentral:rRNA from 1 species